GACGAACGCUGGCGGCGUGCUUAACACAUGCAAGUCGAACGGAAAGGCCCUGCUUUUGUGGGGUGCUCGAGUGGCGAGCGGGUGAGUAACACGUGAGUAACCUGCCCUUGACUUUGGGAUAACUUCAGGAAACUGGGGCUAAUACCGGAUAGGAGCUCCUGCUGCAUGGUGGGGGUUGGAAAGUUUCGGCCGUUGGGGAUGGACUCGCGGCUUAUCAGCUUGUUGGUGGGGUAGUGGCUUACCAAGGCUUUGACGGGUAGCUGGCCUGAGAGGGUGACCGGCCACAUUGGGACUGAGAUACGGCCCAGACUCCUACGGGAGGCAGCAGUGGGGAAUAUUGCACAAUGGGCGGAAGCCUGAUGCAGCAACGCCGCGUGCGGGAUGACGGCCUUCGGGUUGUAAACCGCUUUCGCCUGUGACGAAGCGUGAGUGACGGUAAUGGGUAAAGAAGCACCGGCUAACUACGUG
rnacentral:rRNA from 1 species